AUUGAACGCUGGCGGCAGGCCUAACACAUGCAAGUCGAACGGUAACAGGAAGAAGCUUGCUUCUUUGCUGACGAGUGGCGGACGGGUGAGUAAUGUCUGGGAAACUGCCUGAUGGAGGGGGAUAACUACUGGAAACGGUAGCUAAUACCGCAUAACGUCGCAAGACCAAAAAGGGGGACCUUCGGGCCUCUUGCCAUCGGAUGUGCCCAGAUGGGAUUAGCUAGUAGGUGGGGUAACGGCUCACCUAGGCGACGAUCCCUAGCUGGUCUGAGAGGAUGACCAGCCACACUGGAACUGAGACACGGUCCAGACUCCUACGGGAGGCAGCAGUGGGGAAUAUUGCACAAUGGGCGCAAGCCUGAUGCAGCCAUGCCGCGUGUAUGAAGAAGGCCUUCGGGUUGUAAAGUACUUUCAGCGGGGAGGAAGGGAGUAAAGUUAAGACCUUUGCUCAUUGACGUUACCCGCAGAAGAAGCACCGGCUAACUCCGG
rnacentral:rRNA from 1 species